rnacentral:rRNA from 1 species
AUUGAACGCUGGCGGCAGGCUUAACACAUGCAAGUCGAGCGAGCGGCGGACGGGUGAGUAAUGUCUGGGAAACUGACUGAUGGAGGGGGAUAACUACUGGAAACGGUAGCUAAUACCGCAUACCAUCAGAUGUGCCCAGAUGGGCGUGGCUAGUAGGUGGGGUAAUGGCUCACCAAGGCGACGAUCCCUAGCUGGUCUGAGAGGAUGACCAGCAACACUGCAACUGAGCCACAGUGCAGACUCCUACGUGAGGCAGCAGUGGGAAAUAUUGCACAAUGGGCGCAAGCCCUAUGCAGCCAUGCCGCGUGUGUGAAGAAGGCCUUCGGGUUGUAAAGCACUUUCAGCGAGGAGGCGUUACUCGCAGAAGAAGCACCGGCUAACUCCGUGCCAGCAGCCGCGGUAAUAC